AUUGAACGCUGGCGGUAUGCUUAACACAUGCAAGUCGAACGAUGAGAAAGAGCUUGCUCUUUCGAUUAGUGGCGGACGGGUGCGUAACGCGUAGGAAUCUACCUAUUAGUGGGGGACAACUUAGGGAAACUUAAGCUAAUACAGCAUACGCCCUACGGGGGAAAGAAGGGGAUCGCAAGACCGUUGGCUAAUAGAUGAGCCUGCGUAGGAUUAGCUAGUUGGUGGGGUAAAAGCUCACCAAGGCGACGAUCCUUAACUGGUUUGAGAGAAUGAUCAGUCACACUGGAACUGAGACACGGUCCAGACUCCUACGGGAGGCAGCAGUGGGGAAUAUUGGACAAUGGGCGAAAGCCUGAUCCAGCAAUACCGCGUGUGUGAAGAAGGCCUUAGGGUUGUAAAGCACUUUCAAUUGGAAGGAAAACCUCGAAGCUAAUACCUUCGAGUUUGACAUUACCUUUAGAAGAAGCACCGGCUAACUCCGUGCCAGCCGCCGCGGUAAAAC
rnacentral:rRNA from 1 species